rnacentral:rRNA from 1 species
UUCGGGAGCCGUCACAGGUGCUGCAUGGCUGUCGUCAGCUCGUGUCGUGAGAUGUUCGGUUAAGUCCGGUAACGAGCGCAACCCUCGCCGUCAGUUACAAGUGUCUGGCGGGACUGCCCGUUGAACGCGGGAGGAAGGUGGGGAUGACGUCAAGUCAGCAUGGCCUUUAUGUCCAGGGCUACACACACGCUACAAUGGCCGGCACAGAGGGUCGCCAACCCGCGAGGGGGAGCCAAUCCAAGAAAGCCGGUCUCAGUUCGGAUUGCAGGCUGCAACCCGCCUGCAUGAAGUCGGAGUUGCUAGUAAACGCGCAUCAGCUAUGGCGCGUUGAAUACGUUCCCGGGCCUU